CAGCCGCCACGGUAACACCAGCAGCCCAAGUGGUGGUCGCGAUUAUUGGGCCUAAAGCGCUCGUAGCCGGGCCGGUAAGUCCCUUGUGAAAUCGGACGGCCUAACCGUUCGGCGUGCAAGGGAUACUGUCGGUCUUGAGGCCGGGAGACGUCCGAGGUACUCCGGGGGUAGCGGUGAAAUGUUCUGAUCCUCGGGGGACCACCGGUGGCGAAGGCGUUCGACGAGAACGGGCCUGACGGUGAGGGGCGAAGGCUAGGGGAGCAAACGGGAUUAGAUACCCCUGUAGUCCCUGUCUCUUAUU
rnacentral:rRNA from 1 species